GGGGCUGAUUCUGGAUUCGACGGGAUUUGCGAAACCCAAGGUGCAUGCCGAGGGGCGGUUGGCCUCGUAAAAAGCCGCAAAAAAAUAGUCGCAAACGACGAAACCUACGCUUUAGCAGCUUAAUAACCUGCUUAGAGCCCUCUCUCCCUAGCCUCCGCUCUUAGGACGGGGAUCAAGAGAGGUCAAACCCAAAAGAGAUCGCGUGGAUGCCCUGCCUGGGGUUGAAGCGUUAAAACUAAUCAGGCUAGUCUGGUAGUGGUGUGUCCGUCCGCAGGUGCCAGGCGAAUGUAAAGACUGACUAAGCAUGUAGUACCGAGGAUGUAGGAAUUUCGGACGCGGGUUCAACUCCCGCCAGCUCCACCA
rnacentral:tmRNA from 1 species